CCUUCUUUGGCUGCGACAUUCCUGACGGCUUCUGUCCCGGCUCUUGAUUUUACUGGAGCUCCACUGUCCCACCAGAGUGGAGUAGGCCGGGCCUAUACUUCGAUGUGUCUCGAAUAAAUCAUGACAAAUAAA